rnacentral:rRNA from 1 species
UGCGUAACGCGAUAUGCAAUCUACCUUUCACAGAGGGAUAGCCCAGAGAAAUUUGGAUUAAUACCUCAUAGUAUUAUUGAGUGGCAUCACUUAAUAAUUAAAGUCACAACGGUGAAAGAUGAGCAUGCGUCCCAUUAGCUAGUUGGUAAGGUAACGGCUUACCAAGGCAACGAUGGGUAGGGGUCCUGAGAGGGAGAUCCCCCACACUGGUACUGAGACACGGACCAGACUCCUACGGGAGGCAGCAGUGAGGAAUAUUGGACAAUGGGCGCAAGCCUGAUCCAGCCAUGCCGCGUGCAGGAUGACGGUCCUAUGGAUUGUAAACUGCUUUUGUACGAGAAGAAACACUGCUUCGUGAAGCAGCUUGACGGUAUCGUAAGAAUAAGGAUCGGCUAACUCCGUGCCAGCAGCCGCGGUAAUACGGAGGAUCCAAGCGUUAUCCGGAAUCAUUGGGUUUAAAGGGUCCGUAGGCGGUUUAGUAAGUCAGUGGUGAAAGCCCAUCGCUCAACGGUGGAACGGCCAUUGAUACUGCUGAACUUGAAUUAUUAGGAAGUAACUAGAAUAUGUAGUGUAGCGGUGAAAUGCUUAGAGAUUACAUGGAAUACCAAUUGCGAAGGCAGGUUACUACUAAUUGAUUGACGCUGAUGGACGAAAGCGUGGGGAGCGAACAGGAUUAGAUA